UCUGGAGCUGGAAUCUCUAGAUUAAGUCCGAUGAGGUAUGUAGCUCUCUGGUACUACGGUUGAAUAUGUAUAUAUAUAUGAUCUUAAACUGGAAAGACCAGUAUAUAGAGAGAAAGAUGAUGCUGAGAUGAAAAUUUCAGGCACAUAACGGUUGACAGUCCUAUAGCUCAGUUGGUUAGAGCGCUACACUGAUAAUGUAGAGGUCGGCAGUUCAACUCUGCCUGGGACUACCAGUUGAAAAACGGGGGAUUAGCUCAGCUGGCUAGAGCAUCUGCUUUGCACGCAGAGGGUCAACGGUUCGAAUCCGUUAUUCUCCACGAUAAACUCCGUAAGGGGUAAAAAAAGAUCUUUGACGUAUUGGACAACUUCAAAAAAGUAAAGUAACAAAAAAAUAGAGCAAGCUGAAGAUAUAUCAAUCCGACACGGGCUUCAAUUUUAGCAAUAAAAGGAAGCAGUGUCAGUGAUAAAGAAAGUAAGCAAGGGCAGACGGUGGAUGCCUUGGCUCUCGGAGGCGAUGAAGGACGUGAUAAGCUGCGAUAAGCUUGGGGUAGGUGCAAAUAACCUUUGAUCCCAAGAUUUC
rnacentral:misc_RNA from 1 species